AACGCACGAGACCUGCGGACCUGCGGAAGGAUCAUUAUCCAAUUUAAAGCUCUGCCGUAAAUGUGCCUUUCUCCUGGAAAGGGGAGGGUCGCGUUUCGGUGGACGCUCAUCAACCCUGUGCAAUGUUACCUGCUGCUUGGCGCCUUGCGCUGACCUGGCGGGCCAUCGUUUUUCAAAGACGGGGGGCUUCCAGGUUCGGAUCCCGUUGGCAACCCCAACUCCCAUGCGUCGAAGGCUCUA
rnacentral:misc_RNA from 1 species